rnacentral:lncRNA from 1 species
CAGGCAGCUCGGGGAGAAGACGAUGCUGCAGAGCAUAGACAAGGCCGGACAUCUCGUGCACCUGGAGAGGCCCUGCGUUUACAACCAGCGCCUCAUGGAGUUCCUGGCAUACGCCACUGCUGAAGCUUGCAAGGAGCCUGCAAAUUAAUGAGUAGAUCGAUCGAUCAUUCUGGAGAGUGCUUAAUUAGUUUGUUCACAGAGAAUUGGGGUCCUAUUUGUUGCAGUUUGAUUGAUUGUUUGCCCGUGUACAAGAUAUUAUGAGUGUACGUACGUGAUGCAUAAUACCAUGGAGGGAGUCAGCACCGCACAAUUUGUCUACUUCUUUUUUGCAUCUCAACAUUUUCAUAUGUACAUCCACUUGAAAUGCUUCAACGUCGACAGUGGAUUGAGGAUUUGAGGUUACAAGAGCAUCUCUAACCCUUCCCUUUAAAAGUUUUAACUUCUCAAAAGAUUAUCCUUUUAGAAGUUAAUCCAUAUACCAACUAUUUCUCCAAAACAUUUAAUGGACUAAUGACACAUUUUCACUCUUGCUUUUAUUUUGUCCUCCUAAAUAUGUUAGUACUAAGAAAGCACCCCCUCCCCUCUCCCUCUCGUGUCGCCCCACGCGCGACCGAGAGGGAACCCUAGCCACCGCCGGGCCUCCCUCCCUACUCUCCUCCUCCCUCGCCGCCGCCCGAGGGCGCGGCCAAGCGAAGCCCGGUCGUCGCCGCCGGCGGUGGGGUUCUUUCGUCUCCCCGCGCGGUGGCUUCGGCGCGGGAUGCGGCAGCCGGUCGAGGGCGCGGCGCUUGGCUGCGGGCGUGGCGGUGCAUCGACGCCAAGGUGUGGCGGCGGUGUGGGCUAGCGGCGCGGUGGUGGCACGCACGUGCAGCCGGGGAUGGCGUGGCUGCGGCGCUCAGAUCUGGUCGGCACACGACGCAGGGCAUGGGCGCCCUUGGCUGUGAGCGGCCUCCCUCUGCCGCGGCGAUCUGCUGGUGGGGGGUGGUGGCGCUGCAGUCCUGGUGUUGUAGGCCAGCGGGUGGUGACGGCGCGGCGCGGCGGCUUCGUGGCGGCGCGUCCGGACCCGCCCCUGUAGCUGCGGGCUGCCAGCGACCCUCGGUGGAGGUGGGCGGCCCUUGUCUAGUCGGGCACAUGCGGCUGGACGGCGGCGCUCGACGCGGGAGCGCCUCCCUGGUGAGCUACCUCGGCUGCAGCGGUGGGUCGAUUUAGUUUCCCUCGUCGGCGAGCGCGCGAUUGCGAAUGGCCUCGAGGAGAGAUGUUCAAGCUACCAUGGUGGGGUGACAUGGGGGUGCUCGUGGGGGAGCUUAGUAGGAGGGAUGGCUAGCCUCGAUGCGGUCGCGCCACCUGUCACCGGCACAUUUUCCGGUCUGGAUGCGUCAGCUCCUCCUCCUCCUCCUCCUUUCCUCGUGUUUGGCAGGGAGCUCGGUUGGAGGGAUGGGUGGCCUCGAUGCGGUCACGUCACCUGUCGGCUGUCGCCGGCAUGGGGUGCGUCGGUCCGGCUUCGUCCGCUCCCCUUUCUCCCCCGUUCCUCGGCCGCGAGCGGGUUGGCGCAGUUCUACCAGCGGAGCGUCUACGGGUGGAUCUGUCGGUCGAGGGUCGUCGGUUGGUCCAACGCCGGGGCUUCUGUGUAGGUCUCGGGGUUGUCUGGUUGCAGGGCGGCGGCUCUGGCGAUGGGAGGCGCGGCGUUUGUGAGCGGAGCGUGUGUCUCAGGUGCGGGCGGGAACCAUGGCCUCGCGGGUGGUUGACGGAGUUAGGGUGCGAUGGUGGGGUGUGAGCGCUGGGGUAUACCACUUGCCCAGUCCUUUGACUGGCCAACGGUGGCGGCGGAGGUUCUGGUUCCCGGAGCGCCUUCACAGGGACUUCCUGGAGGUAAUGUUCACCAACCGGAAGGAAAGAGCCGAGCUGCUGGAAGGUCUGGUGGUCAGCAACAAAGAUGCCACCGUCCCCGUUUUGCCGCAGAAAAUACUGCUGAUCUGGGGACACAACGACAACAUCUUCAACAUAGAGCUCGCCAAGACAAUGAAAGAGUAAGUUCCUGAGAUUUCAGACUUGUGCAUAAGCACAAGCUAGCUAGCGUAUGAGCUGAGAUGUUAACAAAUGGUUUUUGAUGGGGUAUACACAGGCAGCUCGGGGAGAAGACCAUGCUACAGAGCAUAGACAAGGCCGGACAUCUCGUGCACCUGGAGAGGCCCUGCGUUUACAACCAGCACCUCAUGGAGUUCUUGGCAUACGCCACUGCUGAAGCUUCCAAGGAGUCUGCAAAUUAAUGAGUAGAUCGAUCGAUAAUUCUGGAGAUUGCUUAAUUAGUUUGUUCAAAGAGAAUUGGGGUCCCAUUUGUUGCAGUUUGAUUGAUUGUUUGCCCGUGUACAAGAUAUUAUGAGUGUACGUACGUGAUGCAUAAUACCAUGGAGGGAGUCAGCACCGCACAAUUUGUCUACUUCUUUUUUGCAUCUCAACAUUUUCAUAUGUACAUCCACUUGAAAUGCUUCAACAUCGACAGUGGAUUGAGGUUACAAGAGCUUCUCUAACCCUUUCCUUUAAAA